AAUAUAUAAGUAUUUAGUACGUUUAAUUUCCAAUUAAAAGGAAGGUUUUAUAU
rnacentral:tRNA from 1 species